CCGACGCCUGCAUGCGUUGCAUCGUUGCUGAUUAACAUUACCGCUGCCGCGCGUUGAAGAGCAGAUGCGGUUACCUGAGGGAACAUCGCACACGGUUGCGCGGGGCACCUGCGCAACGCUCCAUCGCGCCUUUCCCAGCCAGACUUGCGGACAGGCCCCGACCCCACCCCUUUCACACACAGCCACGCACAUCAGCGACGGGAGCCCAGCAGCCAACAUGCAUGGCCUACACAUGCGCUGCCGCCAACAGCGCCUCUUCACUGGCGCCUUGUUCCCAGAGACCCUCAACGAUCAGAUCGCCGCAUUUGCGCGUCGUCACAAGCUGCAGAGCGACGUGUGGGUGCCGCGCAAAGCCUUCGACACGGCACUCAAGCCGUACAAUGUAUACAUUCUGCCGAAGGCGACCCUCUGCGACCUCACCCUCACCCCGGGUGGCGGCAUGGGCGAUGUGACGGCGGCUAUCGGCAUAGACCGAUGUCUUGUGAACGCUGAGCAGACAUCGAACCGGCAUCUACUCGAGAGUUUUGCCGACUUCAUGGUGUCGUGCCUCACCCCGCCUGAGCAGCUCCCAACACGCAUUCAAAUCCAGUCCUUCCCACCCGCUGCCGCUGCGGGUACGCAGGUGGCCUGUCACACAGCCGCUGCUUUGCCAUUAUCGGGGCGCCAAACGCAAAGGAAGAACGCCAGCGAAUACUUCAGUGCCGCCAGCGGCGGCGAGUGCCCCACUCCCUUGCUGGCGGCAGCGACGGACUCCGGCCUCUUCCCUGUUCUCCCGCCCGACCCCACCUGGGACACGUUAGUACCCUUUCGGCACCCGCUCGCCCUGAACGGGUCGCUGUUGGUUGGCACCGAUACGACUGCGCAGUUGCUGAAGUGGCAACAGGAGAGUUACAAGUGGAAUAACUACUGGCGUCGUCUGCGGGGGGGAAAGUGGCGGCGGCAGAGCUUUUAUUCCGUGUGCGACACCGAAGUGCCGGGCCGGUACAACCCGUAUUUCUGCGUCCGCUACGUGCCGCACACGUACACAAACCUCAUCUUCCCGCUGGCUACCGCAGUGCUGAUGCGGCACCGUGCCGUUGCACACAAGUACGUGUCGCGACUGUGGCUGACACUGAAGCAGGCAGAGGAGCUGUUCGGCACAAGCCUGCUUCCCGAACGCGCCAACGAUGAACCGGUCGUAUACUGCAAUUACUUUACCGCUGGCAUGGAGGCCACCGCCUUCUACUGCGCAGACCAGUUCGCCGGCGGCAGCACCAUCUUCCCCACCGCGCGCGAGCUCGACAUUGCGGCGAAAGGCGUGAGGCUGCCUUCCGCGAAGCUGCGCGCAUACCCGCUGCUUGCCCGCCUGCUUGACCAGUACGAGGAGGGGAAGACGACCGAUGGUGCAAGUGGUGACAGACUUGGCACGGAUCAGACAAUGCUCGACGCCGGCCGACACGUGGAGUUUUUUCAGCACAGGCAGCGGUGUGGGGCAGUCCGGCUGCAUGGCUUCUGGAAGCCAGAGACAGAGAGGAAUUAUCUGCAAAACACCAGGAUGGCUGGAACCCUCGCGCGCCAGUGUCUGCUGUGCGACUACCCCCGGCCACUCUUCUUCUCUCACCGCGCGCUUCUCGCCUUCCAUCUCCGCCUACAGGAAGGUGAACAGGGCAUCGUCCAAACACGGCUGCCGAUUCGCGUGAACAAGCUCUUGGCGUGGUGCAAAGGCGAGUGCUGGUUCAACGUGUCGCAGCUGCGCGAGCCGACUGUGGCGCAAGAGCUGAUGGACCACCCACCCGUGCACUUUCUCACGCGCCGGAGUCUUCAAGGCGUUGUCGCCGUCAACUGCUGCCGUGCCCAAUGUGCACGGCGAUGUGACACAGCGGCUGCUGCCGUUUCGUCGAGCUCGCCAACGUCUUCCGUCCCCACGCGAUGCAACUUUAGCGCAGAGUGGAUCCCCGCUUACGUUCUGGAGAUGACGGGGUGGCGGCUGCGGGAAGGCGCCCAAGGCGUGCCAUACGUUCCGCUCGCUGCGGGGGCCGCGUUCAAACACUUUCCUCUCGGUGGCAACAUCCUCUUCUCCAUGGCGGACGUUAGCCUGCACGACGCUGCGAAGGACUGGCUGCGGCGCUACACCCCUGUCGACCAGGAGGGGUAUCCUUUCCUUCGUGGCCUGCGCCAGGCAAUGACGCUACGCGCCUUCGAGCGGGGGUACCGCGCCCACCAGUGGCUGAUCCACCGCGUGCGCAAGAAUGGGGGCUUCUCGCCCCCCUUGCUGACGUUACGGGGAGCGUUCAAGCCAGUGUGCAUGUCUGCCUCUCAGCCGCUACUCGCCACAUCCGCGUUCGUGAAGGCACCGUUCGUGCGAAUGGGCAACUUUGAGUUUGUCAACGCGGAGGAGGUGGCGUGGAUGAGCAGAGCACAUCCGUGCAAGGGCGCCGCAGCGCAAGAGAGCGGCGCCGAGGGGCCUGAUGCACCGCUCCUUCAGAUGAGCAGCGGCGCGCGCUUUCAGGUGGAGUCGGGGAUGGGAAUAUCGGCGGAAUCCCUGCUGCGGCAUUCCGUCAGGGAGACGGACGAUGCGGCAGCCUUGGGCGAUACUGCAACCUUCGACGGGCACGACGUCGGUGAGGCGGACGACUGCAGUGAAGUGGACGAGGGAUGGACAAGUGGUGAUCUCUCCACACUUCUGUACGUUCAAUAGAAGAGCGCCACAAAACGGGCGCACUCUCGGUGGCGCUACUUCGGCUGAGCGAGGAGGGGAGUUGUGGGGUUGCGUGUGCCUUCUGUCCUGAUGAAGGAAAAUGGUUUAUGUGCCCCCCCCCCCCUCGCUAUGAACGUGUAUCGGCGUGCCGGCGGUUGCAGAGGCCAUCGCCACUUGGCAUCUCUCUUUUUGUUUGCCUCAUCGAGAGUAUUGUCACCUACUCUAGUGUUUUUCAUUGAACCGCUUUCUUCACCCGCACAUGCACACCUACAGAUCCGCUCUCUCUACCCUGCGCAAGUAUGUGUGUGCGUGCGGCGUUCCCCCUUCGUACCCCCUACUCUCGUCUCUUCAGGCCUGUGAAGAGAAGAGGAGGGCCUCUCUGCUAUCCAGCUGCUGUUUCCGCUGAGACUUCCUUUUAUAUGUACAGGUAAAUGUAGAUAUACACACACAUUUUUUCUUCCGCAUCCCAGAAGUUUUGCAUUGUGCUGGGUGGAUGAUACAGCGGUGCACGGCAACUCGCGACUCCGGCGCCUGGCGCGCGCAUGCAUCAGACAGAGAGAAACUCUAGCGAGAGCUGCUAAUGCCCCUAGCCAAUAGAAGAGGCACUCCGAAGAUCGGGACCGCACUGCACCACGUGUCGUAGUGCGUGGGGUGCUUGUGUGCACGCAACUUGCAGUUCUCUCUGUACGCCCCUGACCUGCUCACAUGUUAGCUUCAGAGCGUCUUCCAAUGCGGCCGUUGCCUUGCUGCCCUCCUGUGCACCCGCGCGACCGUCUUCCGCUCUCAACCCCUGUCCGCGCGAAGGUUCGGGCCUUUUUCUUCUUCAAACUGGAUAUGUCCGGCUCCCUUGGGUGUCUCCGCACUUUUCUCCCUUCUCGAUGCGGCGAGCAAG
rnacentral:misc_RNA from 1 species